AGGUGGAGGACGUCCGAUUGUGCUACCCGUGGGCACAACUCGUGUAAUCCGGUAACAAUGGAGAUCGUCUUUGACUUCUGUUGGCAAACACUCCACAUAUAGGUAAGUUCAGGUAAGUUCAGGUAAGUAUGACCUAAUUCCUAUAUUUCAAUGACUUCUGCAGUGGACUAUAUACAAUACUGAUGCUCGUAACAGCCACAAAUGUUACUGGAUACUAUCACCUAAUGUCAAUAUCUAAAGAUAAAUACUGAUAUGAUCAUAUUCUUUACUUUCCUCUAACAUUCUUAUUCACAUUAUAUUAUAACAACUUCAGUCCAACAUUCCAAUCUAGGUUAGUUUAUCUCCACAUACUUCGAUAUAUUUUAAAACUUACUCACUAAUAUACAAUAAUGAGAUAUACCCAGUUCAGCUAGUGUGUUCUGCACUUCCACAACAUUUUCCAACGUUUGCUCCUCUAAACAAGUACGCUGUCCUCUAUCAUUGGACGUUUACUUCGUUGCCCAGGAUUGAAUCAACAUUCUGCAGAGUAUGUAAAGCACAUCUUCCAACGUCGGAACACAACUUCCCAUCAAAACAACCAACUAUGUCAGCAUUUUCAGCCACUCCAACAACGCCGGUACCAUUUAGGACGCACUCUUAUACUCAGCUCAGUACACAAUCAUCAUAGGCAAUAUCUACCACUUAUCGACAGUAUCAAACACACUCCACAGUCCACACAUAUCGGCAUGUAGUUCAUAUCAACAAAUGCUAUGUCCGGGAAUUUCAUUAAUGUUAAGGCACCACAACAAAGUCGGAUACAACAGCAACUAACAAUAACAAAUCGAAUGACUACAAAUCAAUAGAAAGUUAUAAAUUUUCAUGUUUUUUAACAACAUCACCAGCUGGUAACACUCAUACUACUUCAUAACAACAUCAGAAAAUGGACGAUCAGGACAGCUCACACACUCACUUUUCAAUUAUAUAAGGUCACCAUCACAAACACUCCAAAACACUGUGCAAUGAUAUUGCACCCACCUUACCUUCAACUGCAGUUUAAUGAUUUUUCUAACCAGUCCCGCCAUUAACUUUAAUAAUUAUUUACAAUAAUAUGUUAGAAUAUAUUUGUUAAUUAUGGCGAUUUCUGGCAUGUACAUACAGUUGGUCAUGAAAGCCUCAAUUUUCUCUCCGCAUAAUGACCAUAAUAGUUAUCUUUAAUACAUGUAGACAUAUAAAUGUUGCUACAAAUAUCCACACGAGUAACGGUAUAUAUCUUAUUAGCUAUAUUAUGUUCCUGGUUUACUUACCUUUGCAAUUGAACAAAAUUGCAAUAUCCUACACCUAACUUUUGUUUAAGCUACAUUAUUUAUGAUGAACUGCUUUCAUUGGUGCCUGCGUGAUUUUCUAAUCUAACUUUUCUGCUGGUGACCUAUAUAAUAGUUGAUACAAUUAUGAUGACUGUCAAAUAUUCAGUGUUUAUGAACACUAGCAAAAACACCACUUCAUCACUUGUCAGUGAUUUUCAACUCUAUCAAUCACCAAUUCAUCAUUUUCCAGUACUGCAGUAUUUUCAACACUACAUCAUUUAUCAGUGUUUUUAAACACUAAAAACCAACCCUACAUCAUUUAUCAGUGUUUCUCAACACUGGACCAAACAGACCAAGACUGCUACCAAUCAGUGAAGCAACCACAAUAUUCAGAUAACUCUAUCGAUGUCCUAAUCUGAACACAUAUACAUGAAGCCAACCAACAACUCCUCAUUCGUUAAACGCAGUCAUCAUUCUUGUAUCAAUAAUAUUAACCUGCGUCAAGAAACGGUAUCGUUGCCUAUAAAACUUCGACUCAACUUAGUCUUACAAGAUUGACUAAUCUCCACUGAAACAGUUCCUCAUAUUAAAGACUAAGCUUUACAAAAAGUACAAACUGAUACUCCGUAUUAAUUGUACACCGCCCAGUUCAAAGUAUCUAACCAGAUGUGAGGAUAUUUAUAAUAACAUACAUUCAACGGAAUGUUCGCGUAAAACAAGUACGGAUUUGGCAUAUUUUACCCCAUUGAGGCUCACAUGACCAACCUUAAUAUAUGAUAUUAUUUGAUGUAAAAUAAAGAAACAUUAUUCACUAAUAGAGUUCUCCUCGUUGCACUAACUUUAAUAUUAUGAUACAUACAAAAAUUGUC